GAACAUUAGAACAUUAGAACAUUAGAACAUUAGAACAUUAGAACAUUAGAACAUUAGAACAUUAGAACAUUAGAACAUGAGAACAUGAGAACAUGAGAACAUUAGAACAGCAUUUGUUAAGAUACCACUGUGAAAGUACUUUCUGAUCGAGUCUGUACAAACCAACCUCAGUUUUAACACCUUCUGAACCGCAGGUGGUAUGUUAAAAAAAGAAGUCCUCUGAUUGGCUCCUCACCAGACAAUCAGUGUCGUGCUGAUGAUUCUAUGGAUUAAAUAACUGUUUUUGGACCUUUACCACAGCAUCACCUUGGUAUUUGUCCUACACAGUACAUGGAUGAAGUCAUCACUGAAGAGACAACUGUUGAUAAAACUACGGUUCGUGUGCAUUUACUGACCAAUCUGACUAAUCCUCAGGUCUAAGAGUGGAUUUUGUUCCGUCUGCAGAGGUGACCGAAGGUCAGAGGGUCACCCUGACCUGCACAACCAGCUGUCCUCUGACUGAUGACACAAAAUACCUCUGGUUUUUGGACAAUAAUCUGACAGGAACCAACGACAAACACCUGGUUCUGGACCCCGUCAGCGGCCGUGAUGCAGGGAAGUACACCUGCAGAGUUAGCUCACAAUCAUCCCACGGCAGAAUACUCAGGGUGAAGUCAGAGCUGUGGCCACCUGCAGUCAUUGGAGUCCUGGUUACUGUGGUCUUAAUAUUACCCAUAGUCCUCUCUGCUGUUUUCUGUCGUAUCAGAAGGAAAAUGAGCUCCAAUCGAUCACCUGAACCUACGACCUACGACACCGUGACACAGUCGGACCUGUUGCAGGAGGACGAGCAUCUUUACGUCAGUAUUGCUGACCCCGACCACCACCACAGAAAUGUCUACACAUCUGUCCGACUCCAUCCUCCACAAGAACCAGAGCACAUCCACUACAGCGUCGUCAGAGUGAAACUCCGCGAGUGAGAGUGCGCUCUCAAAACCCGAUAGAUAAAACAGCCCUUCCUGCUUCCUGUAACCUGCACCGACGUUCGCUUUUGAUCAGAAGGAAGAUACAACUAGAAUGUUCCGAAACCUCAGACAGACUCACGCCAACUAUUAAAGGAAUUGAAACUGCAGUGGUUUGGUUCACACAAUCAGUUUCGGUUCACACGAUCACCUUGUGAGACCAGUGUUUAAACAAAUACUUAAAGUAAAACUGUUUUUAUUAAAAUAAAUAUUUAUUCUGCUCAUUCUGCCUGUGUGGAUGAAGGAACGGACCCGACCUGAAGAUGGAUGGAUGGAUGGAUGGAUGUGCUUGUGUGUAACUCCAGAUGAAAACUGCAAAUAAUGGUAGCUCUCGCCACCUGCUGGUAACAAUCAGUAAUGGCUUCCGAUGUUGGUUUACUUGUGUUUUAAAAUGCUGCGUCUGUCAGUCGUCUAAUAAAUGUACGUUUACGUGAUUUUGUUCAAGGUUUCGUUGUUGAAUUUGACUUCAUUUUCAAUGUCAGUUUAAAGGAAGACCAUUUAGACAUAGGUUGACAUUGAUAUAGUUUAUUAUUAUACGCACUUCAGUUUUCAAUCCAUAUACAAAUAGUACUUGGUAGUAGAAGUUAGUUGUUCGUGUUCAUCAAGGAGGUAGAACAAUAAUUUAAUAAUAGUCUUUUUUUUUUCAGUGUACACGACUCGCCGUCAGGUCACUUCAUUUAGAGGACGUGCAACAGAGGGUGAAGAGAAGGCAGUACACGUUACUUCAUACAUGGUUAAAAAUAAGUCUCAGCUGCAAGACUUACGUGGAAUGAGUUUUAUAUAAACAGGAAGCAGGAGGUAUUCUGUAACAACAACAAAAA